UAAAAACUUGACUGGGGAUAAUCUUUGACUCUGUAGCCUAGCUUGCCACAUCCAAAAUAGAUAUUGCUGCCAGUUCUGCAAAUAUCCUGAUAGUUUUUACUGCAAGUCUAACAAAGGAGAUGGGUUCGGGCACUGCUAACACUGCCUUGAGGUUUAGGCCUAGAGCCCUAUCCCUGUUGCUGUCUCUAAAUUUUGGCACUAGAGCACUGGCUGAAGAAGA
rnacentral:lncRNA from 1 species